rnacentral:rRNA from 1 species
UAUGUGAUCGUCUCUCGCAUAUCAAUAAGCGGAGGAAAAGAAACUAACAAGGAUUCCCCUAGUAACGGCGAGUGAAGCGGGAAGAGCUCAAAUUUGAAAUCUUAAAGGGUUUCCCUUUACGAAUUGUAGUUUAAAGAAGUGUUUUCUGUUGAGGUUUUGGUAAAAGUUCUUUGGAAUAGGACAUCAUAGAGGGUGAGAAUCCCGUAUUCGAUCCGAGUAGCUUGUCAUCUUUGUCGAUACCUGUUUCAAAGAGUCAGGAUUGUUUGGGAAUGCAGUCCUAAAUGGGUGGUAAAUUUCAUCUAAAGCUAAAUAUUGGCGAGAGACCGAUAGCGAACAAGUACCGUGAGGGAAAGGAUGAAAAGAACUUUGAAAAGAGAGUUAAACAGUACGUGAAAUUGUCAAAAGGGAAGCGUUUGACACCAGUGUUGUUUUUCUGAAAAUCAAUUAAAGAACUGUUUAUGCUAAGUUGUUUAGACUUUAUCAGCUAACUGUUUAGUUUUGAGCUUUUCUUUAAUGCACUUUUCAGUUAACAAGUCAACAUCAAUUUCUUUUGCUGUAAAAAAGCUUGAGGAAGGUGGCUUGAGAUUCGUCUUAAGUGUUUAUAGCCUCUUGCCUAUGCAGUCGGAGAGAUUGAGGUCUGCAGCGUAGAUCCUUCGGGGCUAAAUGCAUUUGUGCUAAGUUAUAGCAUUUUAUAGACAACUUGUUGACUAUGGUUUGUCUUGUAGCUUACUCGCUUAUGUUAUUUUACCUACGCUUAGGAUGUUGAAGUCAUCGUAUCGCGC